rnacentral:rRNA from 1 species
CAGCAGCCGCGGGAAUACGUAGGUGGUAAGCGUUGUCCGGAAUUAUUGGGCGUAAAGGGCUCGCAGGCGGUUUCUUAAGUCUGAUGUGAAGGCCCCCGGCUCAACCGGGGAGGGUCAUUGGAAACUGGGAAACUUGAGUGCAGAAGAGGAGAGUGGAAUUCCACGUGUAGCGGUGAAAUGCGUAGAGAUGUGGAGGAACACCAGUGGCGAAGGCGACUCUCUGGUCUGUAACUGACGCUGAGGAGCGAAAGCGUGGGGAGCGAACAGGAUUAGAUACCCCAGUAGUCCCUGUCUCUUAUAC